rnacentral:rRNA from 1 species
UGAGGAAUAUUGGUCAAUGGGCGAGAGCCUGAACCAGCCAAGUAGCGUGCAGGAUGACGGCCCUAUGGGUUGUAAACUGCUUUUAUAUGGGAAUAAAGUGAGGGACGUGUCCCUUAUUGCAUGUACCAUACGAAUAAGGACCGGCUAAUUCCGUGCCAGCAGCCGCGGUAAUACGGAAGGUCCAGGCGUUAUCCGGAUUUAUUGGGUUUAAAGGGAGCGUAGGCUGUCUAUUAAGCGUGUUGUGAAAUUUACCGGCUCAACCGGUGGCUUGCAGCGCGAACUGGUCGACUUGAGUAUGCAGGAAGUAGGCGGAAUUCAUGGUGUAGCGGUGAAUUGCUUAGAUAUCAUGACGAACUCCGAUUGCGCAGGCAGCUUACUGUAGCAUAACUGACGCUGAUGCUCGAAAGUGCGGGUAUCAAACAGG